AGCAUGUGGUUUAAUUCGAUGAUACGCGAGGAACUUACCUGGGCUCGAACGUAAGAUGACUGUAGGUGAAAGCUUACAUCUCUUCGGAGCAUUUUACGAGGUGCUGCAUGGUUGUCGUCAGCUCGUGCCGUGAGGUGUCGGGUUAAGUCCCAUAACGAGCGCAACCCCUACCUUUAGUUGCCAUCAGGUAAUGCUGGGGACUCUAAAGGAACUGCCUACGCAAGUAGUGAGGAAGGCGGGGAUGACGUCAAAUCAGCACGGCCCUUACGUCCAGGGCUACACACGUGCUACAAUGGCCGAUACAGAGGGCAGCUACCUGGUGACAGGAUGCAAAUCUCCAAAGUCGGUCUCAGUUCGGAUCGGAGUCUGCAACCCGACUCCGUGAAGUUGGAUUCGCUAGUAAUCGCGCAUCAGCCAUGGCGCGGUGAAUACGUUCCCGGGCCUU
rnacentral:rRNA from 1 species